rnacentral:rRNA from 1 species
ACGGCGAGUGAAGCGGCAACAGCUCAAAUUUGAAAUCUGGCGUCUUUGGCGUCCGAGUUGUAAUUUGCAGAGGGCGCUUUGGCAUUGGCAGCGGUCCAAGUUCCUUGGAACAGGACGUCACAGAGGGUGAGAAUCCCGUACGUGGUCGCUAGCCUUUACCGUGUAAAGCCCCUUCGACGAGUCGAGUUGUUUGGGAAUGCAGCUCUAAAUGGGAGGUAAAUUUCUUCUAAAGCUAAAUACUGGCCAGAGACCGAUAGCGCACAAGUAGAGUGAUCGAAAGAUGAAAAGCACUUUGGAAAGAGAGUUAAAAAGCACGUGAAAUUGUUGAAAGGGAAGCGCUUGCAGCCAGACUUGCCUGUAGUUGCUCAUCCGGGUUUUUACCCGGUGCACUCUUCUAUAGGCAGGCCAGCAUCAGUUUGGGCGGUUGGAUAAAGGUCUCUGUCAUGUACCUCUCUUCGGGGAGAACUUAUAGGGGAGACGACAUGCAACCAGCCUGGACUGAGGUCCGCGCAUCUGCUAGGAUGCUGGCGUAAUGGCUGUAAGCGGCCCGUCUUGAAACACGGACCAAGGAGUCUAACAUCUAUGCGAGUGUUUGGGUGUCAAGCCCGAGCGCGUAAUGAAAGUGAACGGAGGUGGGAACCUUUCGGGGUGCACCAUCGACCGAUCCUGAUGUCUUCGGAUGGAUUUGAGUAAGAGCAUAGCUGUUGGGACCCGAAAGAUGGUGAACUAUGCUUGAAUAGGGUGAAGCCAGAGGAAACUCUGGUGGAGGCUCGCAGCGGUUCUGACGUGCAAAUCGAUCGUCAAAUUUGGGCAUAGGGGCGAAAGACUAAUCGAACUAUCUAGUAGCUGGUUCCUGCCGAAGUUUCCCUCAGGAUAGCAG